ACUGGGACUGAGACACGGCCCAGACUCCUACGGGAGGCAGCAGUGAGGAAUCUUCCACAAUGGGGGCAACCCUGAUGGAGCAACGCCGCGUGCAGGAUGAAGGCCUUCGGGUUGUAAACUGCUUUUAUAAGUGAAGAAUAUGACGGUAACUCAUGAAUAAGCACCGGCUAACUACGUGCCAGCAGCCGCGGUCAUACGUAGGGUGCAAGCAUUAUCCGGAGUGACUGGGCGUAAAGAGUUGCGUAGGCGGUUAGUAAAGUGAAUAGUGAAACCUGGUGGCUCAACCAUACAGACUAUUAUUCAAACUCACUAACUCGAGAAUGGUAGAGGUAACUGGAAUUUCUUGUGUAGGAGUGAAAUCCGUAGAUAUAAGAAGGAACACCAAUGGCGUAGGCAGGUUACUGGACCAUUUCUGACGCUAAGGCACGAAAGCGUGGGGAGCGAACCGGAUUAGAUACCCGGGUAGUCCACGCCGUAAACGAUGGAUACUAGGUGUUGGGGGUAUCGACCCCCCAAGUAGCGAAGCUAACGCGUUAAGUAUCCCGCCUGUGGAGUACGGCCGCAAGGCUAAAACAUAAAGGAAUUGACGGGGACCCGCACAAGCGGUGGAUCAUGUUCUUUAAUUCGAUGAUAAACGAAGAACCUUACCAGGACUUGACAUCCUUGGAAAUACUACGAAAGUAGCCUGUGCCUUUUGGAACCAAGUGACAGGUGUUGCAUGGCCGUCGUCAGCUCGUGUCGUGAGAUGUUUGGUUAAGUCCAUCAACGAGCGCAACCCUUGUGAAUAGUUGUAUUUUUCUAUUCAGACUGCCCCGGUAACGGGGAGGAAGGAGGGGAUGAUGUCAGGUCAGUAUUUCUCUUACAUCCUGGGCUAGAAACGUGAUACAAUGGCAAGUACAAUGCGCAGCGAAGCCGCGAGGUGAAGCAAAUCGCAUCAAAGCUUGUCCCAGUUCGGAUUGGAGGCUGAAACUCGCCUCCAUGAAGUCGGAAUCGCUAGUAAUCGCAGAUCAGCAAGCUGCGGUGAAUACGUUCCCGGGUCUUGUACACACCGCCCGUCAAACCAUGAAAGUGACCAACACCCGAAGUCCGAUUCGUCGGCCUAAGGUGGGGGGCAUGAUUGGGGUUAAGUCGUAACAAGGUAUCCGUAGCGGAAGCUGCGGAUG
rnacentral:rRNA from 1 species